rnacentral:rRNA from 1 species
UACGUAGGGUGCAAGCGUUGUCCGGAAUUAUUGGGCGUAAAGAGCUCGUAGGCGGUGUGUCACGUCGGCCGUGAAAACCUGCAGCUUAACUGUGGGCGUGCGGUCGAUACGGGCAUCACUGGAGUUCGGCAGGGGAGACUGGAAUUCCUGGUGUAGCGGUGAAAUGCGUAGAUAUCAGGAGGAACACCGGUGGCGAAGGCGGGUCUCUGGGCCGAUACUGACGCUGAGGAGCGAAAGCGUGGGGAGCGAACAGG